rnacentral:rRNA from 1 species
AUUGAACGCUGGCGGCAGGCCUAACACAUGCAAGUCGAACGAGUGGCGGACGGGUGAGUAAUGUCUGGGAAACUGCCUGAUGGAGGGGGAUAACUACUGGAAACGGUAGCUAAUACCGCAUACCAUCAGAUGUGCCCAGAUGGGAUUAGCUUGUUGGUGGGGUAACGUCUCACCAAGGCGACGAUCCCUAGCUGGUCUGAGAGGAUGACCCGCCCGCCUUGAACGUAGACACGGUCCAUAGUCCUACGGGAGGCAGCAGUGGGGAAUAUUGCACACUGGGCGGACGCCGGAUGCAGCCAUGCCGCGUGUAUGAAGAAGGCCUUCGGGUUGUAAAGUACUUUCAUCGGGGAUGCGUUACCCGCAGAAGAAGCCCCGGCUAACUCCGUGCCAGCAGCCGCGGUAAUUC